AAUGCAAUAAUGAAUAUGCACAGUGAGUAUUAAAAGAUAAAAUAAACACUCCCUUAAAAAGUCACAGUAAUUAACAUAGGGUUUAUUUUCAAUGGGUAUUGCUUGUUAGCCUGCUAUAUACCUCAACUGCAGUGUAAAGUUUUAGUCAAUAGGUGGCAGCAGCAGCGCUAGCAUCCCAUAGAAAGUCCCAUUAGAAAACCCCUGAGUGCUGCAGUAGAGAUAACCCCUGCACAGCAGCGUCAUGCAUAGUGCAGGACACUGGAAAUAAAAGGAUGCAUCUUUGAUUUCUGCAGAAAUAUUCAAUUCCUGUGUUGUACCUGAAAUGGACCUAGCCUUAUCAUUUUUGAAGUGCAACACUUGCACCCCCAACUAAAAAACAAAGUGAGUCCCGAAUGUACUUAAUAAAAAAUAUGACUUAUGUAAUUUUAAGAGGACAAUACGGGUCUAAGAAUGAUAGAAUGAGCUCUCUGUGGUGUUUCUACACGUCUCUGUUGCAUGUGUAAGAUGUAACAGGUUUCAGAUAUUUAGUGGGCAGGGCAAGAGAUGAACCUGUCUCUCCUCCUCCCCCGUGUCUUGCCUGUGCACUCAGACAUAUAGAUAGAUCUCAUUCAUAUAUACCAGCACAGUCAUGACCGAUGGCAGGUCUGUUUGUUAGUUCCAGUGUAGAGCUGCUGAAACACGGCACAGUGCAGCAUGUCUCAGGUGUAUCUCCUCCUGUUUCUGUCCUGGCUUUACAACAGCCAGACUGCAAAGGCCACUCUAAUCACCCAGCGUCCUCUCCUUAUCAUGAAGAAAGGAGACUCUGCUGUUCUAGACUGUGAGCAGGAUGGCUCAGAUAUUACCAUGUCCUGGUACAGACAGGCCCCUGACAAGGGCCUGGAGCUCAUCUACUAUUCAGCUGGUACUGGCUCAGAGGAGAGGCAGCAAUCCAUCCCAGACAGAUUCUCAGCUAAGAGAUCUGUCUUAAAGAAUUUCCCCCUGAAUAUUGCAACCUUGCAGGCAGAAGACUCUGCUGUUUAUUUCUGUGCGAGCAGCCACAGUGUGAGAAAGUAACCCUACACCCGUUCAAAAACCUUAUUAUAGAACACAGCCCUGUUAGCCUACAGAACAUGAAAGCAAUCUGUCUAUGAAGAGAUGUGGUUUUAUUCUUUAUUUGUAUAGUUUGCUCUACAUUUUAAACCUGUUAAAGAUGUCAAACAGGUGCACUGCAAACCAGUGGCGGUAACUGUGGCUUGUCAUUUCCCAUUCGGGCACAGCACUUUCUGUUUGUACUCUUUCAGAAGAUGAACAGAAACUGGAACACAUUUUGCACCUGUACACAUGCUUUGUAAAUCUUGCUCUACACAGCACAGAACAUUAUUCUCCAAUACAGUUCACUUUUUACUGCAUAGAACUGUUUGACAACAGACUGCUCUCCUUUCUUUAAGAUCUUGUGUGUCUCCUGGUAUAAUUACAAAGCAGGCUGUGUGUGGAUAUGAUCCUCACCCCAAACAUUACCCCCAGCUGUACACGGUUUCCAUGCUCUACAGGAUGAUUUUUAUUUUGCUCAUCUUUUCAACGUUGAUACAAUCCUUUAUUGUGCUAGUCUUGCAUGUCUUUCUACAAACCUCAGUGCAGCUCAGCUGGAGCUCAAAGAGACUGCCUUGUA